GAGGGCUGCUCAUUCACCUUUAGCAUCCACUUACUAUUCAACUCUCCAGCUGUGGCUCCAAGAAGCUAUAGUAUAUGCUGUUGGUCACACACCUGUGAAACUGUCUCUGCAGAAGAGCUAAAUCAGGUUGGAGGUAAUUGACAGGCCUCAACCCCCUGAGUGAGUUAGAGGGAUAUCUAUCCCAAGCAUGUGAGACUUACCCUGGCAGAAUGCGUGGAUGAGAACAAUUUGUUCCAAUGGCCACAUCCCAGGUGCUGUGGAGUACUUAGAGCUUGGUCACACAUCAGAAAAGCCAAGGUCAUCCCAAGCCAUCAGCAGUCACCCUGACUUUUGUGUUGCCACUGGACUUCGAUAGCUCCGGAAGAGAGAGUGAGGCUGAUGACUGUGCAGCUCUGCCUCACUUAAAUCCAAUUCAUGAGCAAGACAAGAUGUCAUGCCUAGAUGUCACUGGUCUUUGAACAACAUUUGGUGGGAAUAUGUCUAUACUUGGCUGACAAGGAAUAGAGCCAGAAUGAAGAGUGGAUGUGGGGGCAUAGAGAAGUGGAGAGAUCAAACUAAUGGGAGAGAAUGUGCAAUGAGCCUGAUCUCAGAGAAGAUGGCAGAAGAAGUUGGAGGACUGAAACAUGAAUUUCAUUGGAGCACUAUGUAGGUUGUAGAGUUAUAAACUCCCUCUAGAUGCUUUGCUAAGGAGAUUGUCUUUACUGAUCUUCCUGAAUACUGUUAUGUAUUGGUGUAGUAUGGGGAGUCAGUUUAGUAUAAUAUGAAAGACUUUGGGUUUGGAGUUAGAAGAGUUAUGUUUGAAUGCUAUGACUCUGGCCAAGUUUGUGG
rnacentral:lncRNA from 1 species